CUCCUGGGUUCAACUGAUUCUCCUGCCUCAGCCUCCCAAAGUGCUGGGAUUACAGGCAUGAGCCAGUAUGCCCAGCCUAAACCUUGGCAUUCUGAAGAGUCGGAAACCCUUCCUUGGCUUAGAUCCCAGAACUCUGAAACUUGGCUGUUAUCUUAGGAUACUGCUUUCACUGCAGCCCUCUCAAGGUGAUUUUUUUCUCCCACAGUCCUAUUACUGUUCCUGGAGAUGGGGUAGAUGAUAUUCUUGUUCCUCAUUACUGCUUCCAGACAUGUCUCCUAUCUUUUAAAACUCUCAGUUUUAAAAACUCCCAUACCAUCAAAUUAUAUCUCUUCUCUUCAUUGCUAUCAUCUACAAAAUCUACAAACCCGUGGGUCAUUCCCUCUCAUUUCUCAGUAAGUUUAGCUCGUUACUCAUUUCAUUUCCUGCAACACUACUCCUGAUUUAAUUCUUGGCAAUUUUUAAUUACACACAUGGAUAAUCCUUCCAACAUCUGACUACAGGUUCUUUGAAUAGUUUUCCACUGAUCUUGUUCUCUAUUUCCAUCCAUUCACUCUCACAGUCAUACCUUAGAUCUGUCUUAUUAUUAGUAAAAGCUGUAACCCCUCCAUAAUCUAUCUCAUCUGACCACCACUGUCUAUCUUCCAGACAUCUGGUAACUUAACUCCAGCACUCCUUUCACAACCACCUUUUCAUUGUCCCUAAUCUCCAAGUUCCUUCUCUUCCCAUCAUAAUCAACUUAAAUCUCAGGAGCAAUCAUUAUAAUCAUGCAAAUUGCAUGUAUGUUUAACUUAGUUUACCCCUUUUUGUCACACUCACUUUGCAAAAUCACAACUUUAAAGCCAGCUCUUUGCCUACUUUGUACCUACUUCUGUGCAGCAACUAUGCUGAAUAGUAUCUCUUUAAAUUCUUAUCCAUAACUUUCAGGCCUUUAAUGCUGCCUGACAAUCAUAUUUCCCUAUUUACCUUCCCAUUCUCCUAGAUCAGGAGUCAGCCAACUUUUUCUGUAAAGGGCCAGAUAAACAUUUUUGGCAUUGCA